UGUGAAUCUCUUUACUUGAGAUUGGAGGAC
rnacentral:piRNA from 1 species